GACGAACGCUGGCGGCGUGCUCAACACAUGCAAGUCGAACGAUGAAGCGGUGCUUGCACCGUGGAUUAGUGGCGAACGGGUGAGUAAUACGUGAGUGACCUACCUUUGACUCUGGGAUAAGCCUGGGAAACUGGGUCUAAUACCGGAUACGACCAAUCUCUGCAUGGGGUGUUGGUGGAAAGCGUUAUGGAGUGGUUUUAGAUGGGCUCACGGCCUAUCAGCUUGUUGGUGAGGUAAUGGCUUACCAAGGCGACGACGGGUAGCCGGCCUGAGAGGGUGACCGGCCACACUGGGACUGAGACACGGCCCAGACUCCUACGGGAGGCAGCAGUGGGGAAUAUUGCACAAUGGGCGCAAGCCUGAUGCAGCGACGCCGCGUGAGGGAUGACGGCCUUCGGGUUGUAAACCUCUGUUAGCAUCGAAGAAGCGAAAGUGACGGUAGGUGCAGAGAAAGCGCCGGCUAACUACGUG
rnacentral:rRNA from 1 species